AAUAAAAUUUUUUUCUGUUGCGGGGGGAGAGAUUCCGGGUUUUUAAUUAUUUUAUUUAUUUUUCCCGGCUCUCCCUCCGCUGUGUGUGUUGCUUCUUCCCCUUCCCCUUUCUUCGUAUUCUUCUUUUCUCUGCCCUAUGAAUUUUUCUGCACUCUAGUACGUUCUACACAUACCAGGAUUACGAUUAGAAAUCGGUUAUCGUUCUGGAACCCGAUUCAACAAAAGAUUGGCAAUCGAUAAGGUACAUGGUUCUGAAACAUACUUUCAUUGAUUUUAGUUACAUGGUUCAUGAAUUUUUUUUUUCAUGAAAUUCACUAAAUGUGUGCGGACAUAAAUUACAUCUUCUUGGUCCGUUCUUGGUCCGCCACUGCUUAAUAAUAUAAUUUUACAUUUUACAACUACCAUUAUACCUCGCAUGGCCUAAAUUCAUAGCAUCGUUUUAUAUAUUUAUAAUUAGAAUAGUUCUCAUAGCAUCGUUUUAUGAAUUUAUAAUUAGAAUAGAUGGCCUGCACACAAUUAAACUAUAAGAUGUUUUCAUGGUUUUGCUGCAAUUGCAAUUUGACAUAUACAAAUGAUUUAUAUCUCUUAUGUCAAACACUGCUUUUAGAUUUUCACGAUUAGUAUAACAAUUUUUUCUAUAAUUAAAUGGCUCAUUCAAUUCUUUAGACAGAAGAGAGCAAUAUCGGUGAUACAAUAGUUUAUGAUCAUAAUAAUAUAGAUAUUAAACUUGCUAGUAAUUUCACUGAUCUCCUUUUAAAGCUACACAAGUUUACUGUCGAACUUUAACAACUUAUCGAGUUAGUAGUGGCUUUUGAUCAUCCAAAAUUAUAUGUUACUAUUGUAUGUGCAAUAUACUAUUUAAUUAAAACAAGCAAAGAAACUUCGUAAGCCUAUAUCGUUGACUGUUGAGAGCCCAUGCGCACUUGUACUUUUUCAAAAAUGCAACAUGUAAUCUUACGGUUCAAUCUCUUGCCAAGUUAAUCUGUCAUUUAUAAGUAAUAUAUGUGUUGAUUUAUGAUUCGGAUACUUAUAUUUCGAUCUAUGGUAUACCUACGGAAACCAGUUAUUGUUAUCAUGUAGAAUUAUGCCGGUACAAUAAUUUAAAGUUUGAUUGGUGACUUGUUGCGGCUGUAUUGCAAAGCUUCACUUGUACCAGGGUCUUUUUGGGGUAUGUGGGAGUUUGUAAACGUGUUUCCCAAAAGCUGCCUUGGUUAGCUUUUGAGGCAGUGGGUACAGAAGGCUGUAAAACCGUUCCUAGUGUAGCUUCAAGGUUCGUUGUAUGUGCAGUUCGCUAUUGUGGAUCUACCUGAGCUUCUGACCUUUUUGGAGCAUUUUGCUACCCGCAAAACACCUUUGUCAAUCAGAUUUCUGAAGAUGUGAGUGACUUUUAACUGCUAGAGAAGGCUUGCGGUUCUGUGAAGCUGGGAAAGUCAUCAGACAACUUAGCCCUUUCUGGAUUUCUGAAUCAGCUUAUCUGCAUAAUUGCAUUUUGUUCUUUGGAUCAAUGGUUUAUUUAUUGUUACUCGCUUGAAGGAAAUUUUAAUUUGAUACCGGUGUGAACAUUGUGUUGAUAUUACCAAAAAAUUUCGGUUUCGUCUGCUUCAUCAAAUUAGACGAUUCUGUUAUAUCAACUAUUGCCCGUGUAUAGUCUUGUUUCUUCACCGUUCAACGAGAUAUAUUCCCGACGUUAGUUGAUGUUUUUAUGGCCUCCGCCAUUGUUGGAGUGAUCUGUAGUUCUUGGAAACACGGUUGACAAUAAAUUCCAGUGAGCUUGCUGAUGACCACACCAUCAGAUUCUCCUCUCUAUUUUUAGUGCUUUCAGAAUGAACUGAUCUCUUCUUUAUGCGACUAAAAUUCCGCUGCCUUUUUUAUUUGUACUCUUGCGUUAUACAGUAACGAAGUGAUGAAUUAGUGAUAGUCGGCUCUGAUUCAUAUUAGAGUUAUUGUGAAUAAUAUCGAUGGUAAUUUUUUCUAUGCCAAAUUUAUGCAACUCGUAACAUAGUUUCUUUACUAUAGAUAUGGAAAGGAUUCAUUUAGAGUACUGAAAAUCCGUUUUUUCUUGGUUGGAGAGGUAAAUUGCAUGUUUUGAAAUGGCUUAAGUUUGAAAAAAAAACAA